UGUGCCAGCCGCCGCGGUAAUACGAAGGGGGCUAGCGUUGCUCGGAAUCACUGGGCGUAAAGGGUGCGUAGGCGGGUUUCUAAGUCAGAGGUGAAAGCCUGGAGCUCAACUCCAGAACUGCCUUUGAUACUGGAAGUCUUGAGUAUGGCAGAGGUGAGUGGAACUGCGAGUGUAGAGGUGAAAUUCGUAGAUAUUCGCAAGAACACCAGUGGCGAAGGCGGCUCACUGGGCCAUUACUGACGCUGAGGCACGAAAGCGUGGGGAGCAAACAGGAUUAGAAACCCCAGUAGUCC
rnacentral:rRNA from 1 species